AUUAUAAUAAUACAGGCUCAGAUGAAAUGAAUACUCCAGCAUGGAAAUGGAAAUGAGGGAACACAGAACAGACAAGAAUCAUCCGAUGUAAGUCUUAUACUCCGGGGGGACAUCCGAAAAAGGUCGUCCCAGCAGCUAUGUGUGAUAUUCUAUUUGCGACAAUUAAGAAAUAAAUCUCACACGUGGAGAAAUGUGUUUUUAUAUUUGCUUCAUCUUUUAUUCUCUUCAAUAAUAUAAAAUUACAUACGUUAAUAACACGAGAUGAAUAUGUUACAAUAUUUCACAACGUAACGCGUGCCCAACGCGAUUAUGGGUUACGAUUGGGAAGCGGUUGGGAGGAGACCAUGUCUUAGCCCAUGUUGAAACGCGCGACAACGAUUUCAUCGAGUCGAGGAUGACGACCGCGGGCGGAAGUAUCUG